rnacentral:lncRNA from 1 species
AUGCAGAUCAAGCACACAGCGGACCUUGGUAUUGGAAACGGGACCUUCUUAAAAAAAGAAAAAAAAAAAGAGAAAAAGAUAUCUUUGAUUCUUUGGAAAACCAUUGGAGAAAACGAGGACAGUGUAUCGGAGGAAAAUGUCAAAUUGCUGCUAAGAGAGAAACAAAGCAAGCAGGGCUACACUGUUCACUUUCCAUCAGGAAUACCUCUGGAAGACUGGCAAAAAGGAAGCGGAGAUGACCACGCUGUCAGCUCUGCUGUAAGAGUUACCAGUCUUAACGAUCACCACACCUUGAUUUUUCCUGGACCAAUAGAAAGAAGUGACCGUCUUUUUCACUGCUUCGGGAGCAAAUGGAUAACAUUUUGAAAGACUGUAGCAUUAGACUCAUCUGGGGCAUGAGCUGUUGGCUACAAUGAAAGACACUACAAGUUUCUUAGGCUGUGGUUGGAAAAGUCUUUGAGCAUCUAAUAGCAAGUAAG